AAAUUAUAUCCUAUAUAACGCACACCAAUAGGCCGUAUAUGUCAUUAAUUAUAGCUACUCAUAUUCAUAGCGGUGCACCAAAAUGAGUGUUUGAUGAAUGAGAUUCAUAGGAAAUAAUUGCUGUGAUUUGCAGUGUAUAUGGCCAUAUGAUCCAUAUAGUGUAGUGUAUAAUUUUUCCUCCAAAAGCGAUGCCAAUAAGGUGAA
rnacentral:lncRNA from 1 species